rnacentral:rRNA from 1 species
GAUCUGGCUCAGAACGAACGCUGGUGGCGUGUCUAUACAUGCAAGUCGAGCGAGGCAGCAAUGCCGAGCGGCGAACGGGUGAGUAACGCGUAAGCAAUCUGCCCCAUAUCAGGAAAUACCCGUGCCAACGCGCGGUUAAUGUCCAGGAGAGUGGCCCUCUGCAUGGAGGGUUGACUAGAGAUUUAUCGGUAUGGGAUGAGCUUGCGUCCGAUUAGCUAGUUGGCGGGGCAACGGCCCACCAAGGCGACGAUCGGUAGCCGGCCUGAGAGGGUGAUCGGCCACAUUGGGACUGAGAUACGGCCCAGACUCCUACGGGAGGCAGCAGUAGGGAAUAUUGCACAAUGGGGGAAACCCUGAUGCAGCAACGCCACGUGUGGGAAGAAGCAUUUCGGUGUGUAAACCACUGUCAUGAGGGAAUAAGGCCCGCCUUCGGACGGACUUGAAUGUACCUUGAGAGGAAGCACCGGCAAACUUCGUGCCAGCAGCCGC